AACUUGACAUGAACAAAACAUAAAUUCUAUAAAAAUUCAACUUGACAUCACUUUUUAGAAACCCCAGAUUCACUGUGACCAAUAUGUCUUCUAAAAACAACACCAAAAUUUCCACUUCACGGACAAAACCCCACAAAAACUUAGGGGCAUUGUAAUUUAUUCCCUGUGACUUACAUGGAACGUGAGCGUUCAAUGUUCAUGAUGUAAACUUUGGCUCAAGUGAGACAAGUUCUGAGGGGUUAAGUGGAAAAACAAACAAAGUUUUGAGCGAUUAAUCCUAUGAAAAAAUGUCCCUGCUCGAAAUCAAACGAAAAUGGCGAAUCUCCUCUCUCACGCCCGUCGCCGUGCCUUCAGCAUCAAUCGAUCUCAAACGCUAGCUUUCCUGCGAUCCUUUUCUUCACCUUCCCCAUCUCAAACCUUAGCAUCGUCGUUCCGGCGGCCGUGGACUCUCGAGGACACAAGAUUCGUCAACGGCGUGCCCUCAUUCAAGGUUACUUCUCUGUUUGGGGCUUACAAAAAGUUCUGUACUUAUCAUGAAGCGCGAGAAAGUGAAGGCGUUAUCCCGUCGGAGUUGUUAACGAGUAAAAAUGCAACGGCACCUAAUCGAACUAUAGGAGAAUAUGCUGACCUAGUAAUGAGAGUGACCAACUUUCAAAAUGAGGACAAGGGUCUCAUUGUCUUGGCUGGUGAUGUUUUUGAUGUGCCCAUUAAGAAGGAUACAAUUCACCAAGUUGUGCGAUGGCAGCUUGCCAAACGACAGCAGGGGACUCAUUCAACUAAAACAAUAAGUGAAGUCAGCGGUACUGGGAAAAAGCCCUAUAAUCAGAAGGGCACUGGAAGAGCAAGGCAUGGGACAUUGCGUGGUCCACAGCUUUUAGUUUUUGAGGAUCUUGACUUCCGAACCACAAAACAAAGAACAUAGUAAACUAUGUUUCUCAGAUGGAGGAGACAAAGAAAGUUCUGUUGGUGGAUGGUGGUCCUAUAAGCGACAACCUGAAGCUUGCCACUGGAAACCUCCAUUACGUGAAUGUCCUUCCUUCAAUUGGUCUGAAUGUUUACAGCAUCCUUGAACAUGAUACACUUGUCAUGACUCGGGAUGUGCAGUAGAUCGGAUUGUCACAAGGAUGCAUACCCCUAUCAAACGAUGAUUGAGGUCACUGAACAUGAGAAAGGGAGUUUUAUGAUCAACCUGGUGUCAGAAGAAACUGAAAUCAUACGGGCUGAAGAGGGAAACCGAAGCACAAAUCGCCUCCACGUCGGUUUUCUUUCCCUCCCCCGUUUCCUUCCCCAACCGAGUGAAAUCGAAGAAAACUCUGGCCACGUCGGAUUUUUUUCUUCCUCGUUGAUUUCUUCAGCUAGAGUUACCUCCUUCGCAUUGCUCCCGCCAGAAAGUCCAGCGAAUUAAUUCAGCAAUCAAAGGACCGGAGCAAAGCCAUCAGGCAACAGCGGCGCAUUUUAGAGUCCAUCACCGGCGUCACCGACAUCAACGCUGUCAUCGAGCAGGCCGAGGAGGCUGACCGUGUUUACACUGUCGAUAACCCGACCCAAAUCUCCUUGUU